GUCACUGGGAACCACCCUCCAGUCGAAACAGGGCCCUGGCUGGAUCUCCCAUUAAUGAAGCUGUGAUCAUUCUGCAGCCCACUGAGCUCCUUAUUUCCAGAGAGAGAGAGAGAGAGAGAGAGAGAGAGAGAGAGAGAGAGAGAGAGAGAAGGGAAAAUGGAGACUGCAGGCCUGGAGGAGGAGAGAGACUUAAGUGAGUUGACUCGGGCAGUGCAUGCGGUCCCCGACGGCAGCGUGGUGCACCCUGCGGUCCAGUUCGCCUGGGUCGGAACCGGCCUGGCCCCGCGCGCCCUGGGGCUUGCGCUCCGCAGAACGCGACCACCGCUGGUCACCCCAACUUCGGCCGCUUCGCUUCGAGGAACGCUAACUGGAUCAGAAAGGAAAACGUCUUCGACCCCAGUGCUGCUCUAGUCGGUUUUGAUUUUUUUUUUUGAAGGGUGGGGUGGAGGAUUUUUAAAACAAACAAAAAAAGUAAGUCAGUGUCUUCUCGCAA